GACGGGUUCUCACGAAUGCUCAGUAUCGACAGUGUAGUAAUAAGCGUCGUGUAGUAAACUUGUCCAGAAAUUCUUUUCGGUUACCUAUUUAAUUUAGACGUUUGAUUUUAAUAAACUGAGUGUAUUUUCGACAUUUUUAAAUUUUUUUUGUGUUGCUCAUUCCAUUCGUAAACCGUCUUAUAAACUAUAACCACAACAGGCAUCAAUACUUCAAUCGUGUUGUGUUUUUUACAGGCGAAAAGUGCGCUAUCAUAUUCUGUCGAAAAAACUCCAAACAUAAUAUUCCGGUAGCGACGGCUGGCCAGUCCGGGAAAAAUGUAUAUUCGUGAGUUGUCAUUCAUUAUUAUUUUUUUAUCAAACGUAUUAUAAUAAUUGAUGUGAAACAUAUUUUUGCGGUAGUUCCCAUAAAUAAUAUAAAAUGGAUGUUGGAUAGACUAUGCUAAAGCACCCAUGUGUAACAGUUCCAGGAGUUUCGGUAUAUGCCCCAGCAAUACCAUUGUUACUAGUGAUAACCAAUAGGUAACCAUUAGCCAUAGCCCACAGGCAGUGGCGUAUUUUGGGUGAUUUAUCGGGGGGUGUCCAACAUUUAUUGAACCUCACAAACAACAUUUUUAGAAUUAUUUACUUUGCUAAUAUUUUAUAUUUUAUUUAUAUUGAGUUCAUAGUUGUAACAUAAAUUAUAUUGAAUCGAUAUUUUUUUCGAUUAUUUUAUUUUAUUGUCCCAUAAUGGCGUUUGUCCCCAAUGUGUUAAUAAUUAUUUAAUUUUUGUACGACAGUGUACUGUUACACACUGCGGCCUGUGGUUAUUUUUAGUAUCGUAAUGACCCGGUGAAAUUCAAAUAAUAUCUGGAUAUCCCUGAUAAAUUGUAGAUAAGUCUCUGUGUCGUAGAAUCUAAUCAAAUUAAUUAAAGUUUUGCCGUUUAUAUAAAAAUACCAUUUAUUUUAUAAUAAAAUAAAAAUAGUAUACUAAUAAACUAUAAAAUAAAUGAUAACACCAAUGUCCAAUAUAUUAGGACUUUUUUUUUAAGUCGGGGUAUGUCCAGACACGGGGGAAAACCUCCCCCCCCCC